UAUAACACUAGUCUUUACAUCAUUGUCUAUUUGUGUGGUUGUCGUCUUCGCACUUGUGGGCCUUGAUGUUUUAUUUAUCCCUGACGAAGGUCUUGAUGUGUGGUCAGGAGGUGUUCGAGUACCUGUAAAUACUUCUUCAUCAGCGUGUCCAUAUAUUUCUUUAGUGGUCUUACUCGCACUUGUUGGUCUUGAUGCGCUUACUGAACCUGAUGUUGGUCUUGAUGUUGUAAUUUUGUUAGAAGAUGAUUGUCUUCUAGUUUCCUUAACUUCAAAUUCCUCAUUGAAGUCACUGAUUUUCGUGUCGGUAGGGCUACUUGUCCUUGAUAUUUUAUUAGCUUCAUGUACUGGACUUGAUACAUUAUUGACAGGUGACAAUUUUCCUGUAGGUGAAGAAUCUCCAGGUAUUUUAUCAUUGGUUUCGAUUGCAGUGGUUACCUUAGAUGCUUCUAUUCCUGAAGAAGGUCUAGAAUGUGGACCAGACGACGUAGAUGUUGUCCCAGUCACAUUUUCUUUGCCUGGAUCAGAUUGAUCUUUUGUCUGGUCUUCAUUCAUGUUAUUCAAAGUGUCAGAUGUUUUUGAUGUAUCUGUUUCAUCUGCAGGGAAAAGAUCUGCUGCGUUGUCUUUGGCACUCGAAGGUCUUGACGAUUCCUUUGAUUUUGAUGUUGGUCUAGAUACUGUUUCGUUGUUUACUACUAUUGGACCUUCUGUAACACUAGUCUUUACAUCAUUGUCUAUUUGUGUGGUUGUCGUCUUUGCACUUGUGGGCCUUGAUGUUUUAUUUAUCCCUGACAAAGGUCUUGAUGUGUGGUCAGGAGGUGUUUGAGUUCCUGUAAAUACUUCUUCAUCAGCGUGUCCAUUUAUUUCUUCAGUGUUCUUAAUCGCACUUGUUGGUCUGGAUGCGCUUCCUGAACCUGAUGUUGGUCUUGAUGUUCUAAUUUUGUCAGAAGAUGAUUGUCUUCUAGUUUCCUUAACUUCAAAUUCCUCAUUUAAGUCACUGAUUUUCGUGUCGGUAGGGCUACUUGUCCUUGAUAUUUUAUUAGCUUCAUGUACUGGACUUGAUACAUUAUUGACAGGUGACAAUUUUCCUGUAGGUGAAGAAUCUCCAGGUAUUUUAUCAUUGGUUUCGAUUGCAGUGGUUACCUUAGAUGCUUCUAUUCCUGAAGAAGGUCUAGAAUGUGGACCAGACGACGACGAUGUUGUCCCAGUCACAUUUUCUUUGCCUGGAUCAGAUUGAUCUUUUGUCUGGUCUUCAUUCAUGUUAUUCAAAGUGUCAGAUGUUUUUGAUGUAUCUGUUUCAUCUGCAGGGAGAAUAUCUGCUGCGUUGUCUUUGGCACUCGAAGGUCUUGACGAUUCCUUUGAUUUUGAUGUUGGUCUAGAUAAUGUUUCGUUGUUUACUACUA